rnacentral:rRNA from 1 species
GGGCCCGCACAAGCGGUGGAUUAUGUGGAUUAAUUCGAUGCAACGCGAAAAACCUUACCUGGCCUUGACAUGUACCGAAUUUAGCAGAGAUGCUUUAGUGCUCGUAAGAGAACGGUAACACAGGUGCUGCAUGGCUGUCGUCAGCUCGUGUCGUGAGAUGUUGGGUUAAGUCCCGCAACGAGCGCAACCCUUGCCAUUAAUUGCCAUCAUUUAGUUGGGCACUUUAAUGGGACUGCCGGUGACAAACCGGAGGAAGGUGGGGAUGACGUCAAGUCCUCAUGGCCCUUAUGGCCAGGGCUUCACACGUAAUACAAUGGACGGUACAGAGGGCUGCAAUACCGCAAGGUGGAGCGAAUCCCAAAAAGCCGGUCUCAGUUCGGAUUGAGGUCUGCAACUCGACCUCAUG